rnacentral:rRNA from 1 species
GAAGCCCUUCGGGGUGGAUUAGUGGCGAACGGGUGAGUAACACGUGGGCAAUCUGCCCUUCACUCUGGGACAAGCCCUGGAAACGGGGUCUAAUACCGGAUAACACUCUGUCCCGCAUGGGACGGGGUUAAAAGCUCCGGCGGUGAAGGAUGAGCCCGCGGCCUAUCAGCUUGUUGGUGGGGUAAUGGCCUACCAAGGCGACGACGGGUAGCCGGCCUGAGAGGGCGACCGGCCACACUGGGACUGAGACACGGCCCAGACUCCUACGGGAGGCAGCAGUGGGGAAUAUUGCACAAUGGGCGAAAGCCUGAUGCAGCGACGCCGCGUGAGGGAUGACGGCCUUCGGGUUGUAAACCUCUUUCAGCAGGGAAGAAGCGAAAGUGACGGUACCUGCAGAAGAAGCGCCGGCUAACUACGUGCCAGCAGCCGCGGUAAUACGUAGGGCGCAAGCGUUGUCCGGAAUUAUUGGGCGUAAAGAGCUCGUAGGCGGCUUGUCACGUCGGAUGUGAAAGCCCGGGGCUUAACCCCGGGUCUGCAUUCGAUACGGGCUAGCUAGAGUGUGGUAGGGGAGAUCGGAAUUCCUGGUGUAGCGGUGAAAUGCGCAGAUAUCAGGAGGAACACCGGUGGCGAAGGCGGAUCUCUGGGCCAUUACUGACGCUGAGGAGCGAAAGCGUGGGGAGCGAACAGGAUUAGAUACCCU